rnacentral:rRNA from 1 species
CAGCAGCCGCGGUAAUUCGUAGGUGGCAAGCGUUGUCCGGAAUUAUUGGGCGUAAAGGGCUCGCAGGCGGUUUCUUAAGUCUGAUGUGAAAGCCCCCGGCUCAACCGGGGAGGGUCAUUGGAAACUGGGAAACUUGAGUGCAGAAGAGGAGAGUGGAAUUCCACGUGUAGCGGUGAAAUGCGUAGAGAUGUGGAGGAACACCAGUGGCGAAGGCGACUCUCUGGUCUGUAACUGACGCUGAGGAGCGAAAGCGUGGGGAGCGAACAGGAUUAGAUACCCGCGUAGUCCCUGUCUCUUAUAC